GCACGAAGUUAGCCGGGGCUUCUUCUACGGGUACCGUCAUCAUCGUCCCCGUCGAAAGGACUUUACAAUCCGAAGACCUUCUUCAUCCACGCGGCAUUGCUGGAUCAGGCUUGCGCCCAUUGUCCAAUAUUCCCCA
rnacentral:rRNA from 1 species